GAUUCCUUUUGGUUCCAAGUCCAAUAUGGCAACUCUAAAGGAUCAGCUGAUUUAUAAUCUUCUAAAGGAAGAACAGACCCCCCAGAAUAAGAUUACAGUUGUUGGGGUUGGUGCUGUUGGCAUGGCCUGUGCCAUCAGUAUCUUAAUGAAGACUAUAAUGUAACUGCAAACUCCAAGCUGGUCAUUAUCACGGCUGGGGCACGUCAGCAAGAGGGAGAAAGCCGUCUUAAUUUGGUCCAGCGUAACGUGAACAUCUUUAAAUUCAUCAUUCCUAAUGUUGUAAAAUACAGCCCGAACUGCAAGUUGCUUAUUGUUUCAAAUCCAGUGGAUAUCUUGACCUACGUGGCUUGGAAGAUAAGUGGUUUUCCCAAAAACCGUGUUAUUGGAAGCGGUUGCAAUCUGGAUUCAGCCCGAUUCCGUUACCUAAUGGGGGAAAGGCUGGGAGUUCACCCAUUAAGCUGUCAUGGGUGGGUCCUUGGGGAACAUGGAGAUUCCAGUGUGCCUGUAUGGAGUGGAAUGAAUGUUGCUGGUGUCUCUCUGAAGACUCUGCACCCAGAUUUAGGGACUGAUAAAGAUAAGGAACAGUGGAAAGAGGUUCACAAGCAGGUGGUUGAGAGUGCUUAUGAGGUGAUCAAACUCAAAGGCUACACAUCCUGGGCUAUUG
rnacentral:lncRNA from 1 species